rnacentral:lncRNA from 1 species
UCUGAAACAAUAGGAGGCACCAUCUGAAACACAAGCUCUGUCAGAUGUUGAGCUAUGUGGAUAGCAGACUUUCAUAAAAGGUUGAAUGCAAACAUAGAUGGGCUAAGUGGGAUAUUGCUUGCUUUUGAAGUUAUCUGCGCAUGAACAAAGAAGUGGCUGGAGACAGAGAUGGCAGCAGAAGGGAGAGGAGAGCAAGAAAAGUCCUUGUGUGGUGUGGAGAAAAAAGUUAUUUUCAUGGGAAGAAUAGCGCUAUAGUCUUUUCCUUCUGACUGCUGCGAACCACUUUUGGAAGUGGGGUAUUUGUCCCUGUAGAAGACAGACAAGCGAUGGGAGUACUGCACAGAAAUAUAUGAAAUCUUCUUUGAAAAAUAACUAUUUAAAAAUGAGCAGUCAGAUGCAGACAUCUUCUCCCACCGCUUUCCAACAACUGGGCAAAUUUUUGGAAACACCCUGCAUUAUAAGCACUGUGAGAACAACAGUAUAACUUCUCAGGUUUUCUAAUGGAAAGUUGGAGGAACCUGCAGAUUAAAUGGGAGAACUAAGAGCAGAAGAAUCAUACAAGCUGUAACAUCAUCUCUCUCGAUACGACAGCUGGAAAAGGAUACCUCAGUUUUAAAAAGCUCCUAUGGAUUUGUAUAGGCUAGGGUGGAAGUGCCAUUGUCUGUCAGUUCUGACGGCUGUCAACCCUUAUCUAAGAGCAACAGAUUUACAGAAAUUAUAUUUGCACCUAAAAUGAAGUAAAUGAUCUCUUUCUUAAUUUUUCAUCCAUUUCAUGCCU